rnacentral:lncRNA from 1 species
AGCCUAGCUAUAUAGCCUAAAUAUCUGUAAGCAUAUUUUGAGUCUGAGUUGUUUUUCUGGGAGUUUGGGGCUGGGAAGAGAAACCUGCAUUUUAACAGAGGCAGCCUUGCUCAGGGAAAAUGCUGAUGGGUCAGAAGUAAAUGUUUGAGAUAGCAGGAACAAUCAGAGGACCCACUCUGGAAAGAAGGCUCUGAAAAUCUGUGAAUUAGGCUGUCAUAACUGAAAGCUUGACUAUAGAUAAGAUUGGCUGGAGUGGGUUGGGAGCAUGCUUUACUUAGACCUUGAUAGAGUUAAUGAUAAUGAUGAUGCAGUUUUAGAGAAUACAACCAUGGCGCCUGAUACUGUCCUUGAGGAAUUGUUGGGAGCUAUUAAGACAACACUAUUGUCCUGAUCUCUGAAUUGGGCCUCUCACCCCCGAGAAGAAAAGGGGGUCAAAAGCGGGCCACCUACACACCGUUCCGAGAACAACCACAGAAUGUUCCAGCCCUAAGUCAGCGCCAGAUGUCCUGACCACACCCUGAUACCACCAAGUUCCUGCUUCCCUGUGUAGCUGCCAAAAGAAAAAUUUCUAUUGCCCCACCCCUCCCGCUGAUAAGUACUUCCCCUUUUGCUUGUGCAAUUCUAUUGCCCCACCCCUCCUGCUGAAAGGCACUUCCCCUUUUGCUUGUGCAUUUAAGCCUUGGGCCUUGCUCAAUACAUUGGGACCUUGAUGCCACUCAGAAUGCUUCCGUGUGUUGUUCUUGCACUUGGUCCUCGUCUCUCUCUAACCCCCCCCCCCCCAUUUGGUUCUUAGGAGAAGGUCCCCUCGAGACCCUCGAAUAACUGGUCCUGCUGGAUGGGUCAAGUGGCGCCCAACGUAGGGCACAAGGUACUACCACCCUCCGGACAACGGAUUCGAGAGGUACUGCGCAGACAGUGAGACAGUUCCCUGCCACUUCGUUCGAGUGUCGCAGACGUUGAGAGAGGACGGAAUUGGAGAUCACUCAGAGAGAUUAGGUUGUUCGUAGUCACAAGGCUGGUGAAUGGCAGACUCAGAGACAGAUAACAGUCUCCAAGGCACAGAGAAGACUCCAAGUAGAGUCAACUGAGAUGACGUCCUUGAGAGCAAGGAGAAGUACACUCAGGACUCUCAGGGGAAUACACAAGCAACAGUGUCAGAGAUGUGGGUGAAUCACUAUACCAAUAGCCUCCCCAUGAGUGUAACACAAAGAGCCUCAAACUGAAAGUAAAGGUCAACAAUCUCAGCAUGUGGGUCAGCUUUGCUGGUAUUCUGUCAAUUGGGUGACUUUCACCUUUCCACAGGAAAUAGCUGUGCUAUUUUCUAACAUAUUUUUAUUGGCUAUUAUUGAUUUGUUUGGGAAUUUCAUAUCAUGCAUCUGGAUCACACUUUUCAGUCCUCUCAAGUAUACUCCCUAAUUCUUGUAA